GCGAACGGACGAGAAGCUUGCUUCUCUGAUGUUAGCGGCGGACGGGUGAGUAACACGUGGAUAACCUACCUAUAAGACUGGGAUAACUUCGGGAAACCGGAGCUAAUACCGGAUAAUAUUUUGAACCGCAUGGUUCAAAAGUGAAAGACGGUCUUGCUGUCACUUAUAGAUGGAUCCGCGCUGCAUUAGCUAGUUGGUAAGGUAACGGCUUACCAAGGCAACGAUGCAUAGCCGACCUGAGAGGGUGAUCGGCCACACUGGAACUGAGACACGGUCCAGACUCCUACGGGAGGCAGCAGUAGGGAAUCUUCCGCAAUGGGCGCAAGCCUGACGGAGCAACGCCGCGUGAGUGAUGAAGGUCUUCGGAUCGUAAAACUCUGUUAUUAGGGAAGAACAUAUGUGUAAGUAACUGUGCACAUCUUGACGGUACCUAAUCAGAAAGCCACGGCUAACUACGUGCCAGCAGCCGCGGUAAUACGUAGGUGGCAAGCGUUAUCCGGAAUUAUUGGGCGUAAAGCGCGCGUAGGCGGUUUUUUAAGUCUGAUGUGAAAGCCCACGGCUCAACCGUGGAGGGUCAUUGGAAACUGGAAAACUUGAGUGCAGAAGAGGAAAGUGGAAUUCCAUGUGUAGCGGUGAAAUGCGCAGAGAUAUGGAGGAACACCAGUGGCGAAGGCGACUUUCUGGUCUGUAACUGACGCUGAUGUGCGAAAGCGUGGGGAUCAAACAGGAUUAGAUACCCUGGUAGUCCACGCCGUAAACGAUGAGUGCUAAGUGUUAGGGGGUUUCCGCCCCUUAGUGCUGCAGCUAACGCAUUGAGCACUCCGCCUGGGGGGUACGACCGCAAGGUG
rnacentral:rRNA from 1 species